rnacentral:rRNA from 1 species
AACGUAGGAGACGAACGUUAUCCGGAGUUACUGGGGGUAAAGGGCGUGUAGGCGGUUUGUUAAGUCUGGCGUGAAAGCUCUCGGCUAAACCGGGAGAGGUCGUUGGAUACUGGCGAACUCGAGGAUGGUAGAGGCGUGUGGAAUUCCGGGUGUAGUGGUGAAAUGCGUAGAGAUCCGGAGGAACACCAGUGGCGAAGGCGACACGCUGGGCCAUACCUGACGCUAAAGCGCGACAGCAUGGGGAGCAAACGGG